rnacentral:rRNA from 1 species
GACGAACGCUGGCGGCGUGCCUAAUACAUGCAAGUCGAACGCAGUGGGGACGGGUGAGUAACACGUGGGUAACCUCCCAUCAGAGGGGAUAACACUUGGAAACCGGUGCUAAACCGAUACUGAUGGAUGGACCCGUGGUGCAUGAGCUAGUUGGGGAGGUAACGGCGCACCCAGGCCACGAUGCAUAGGCGACCUGAGAGGGUGAUCGGCCACACUGGGAUUGUGACACGGCCCAGAUUCCUACGGGAGGCAGCAGUAGGGAAUCGUCGGCAAUGGACGAAAGUCUGACCGAGCAACGCCGCGUGAGUGAAGAAGGUGUUCGGAUCGGAAAACUCGGUGGUUAGAGAAGCGGUAUCUAACCAGAAAGCCACGGCUAACUACGUGCCAGCAGCCGCGGUAAUGC